rnacentral:ncRNA from 2 species
GACAACUGCAUAGCCGUGUGUCCUGGGGGAAGCCGGUGCGAAUCCGGCGCUGACCUGCAACCGUGUGCGGUGCCUCGUGCCGCGAGUCGGGAUGCCCAGCACACGGCCGGUUCCGCUU